AUAAAAGCGUUGAACUAUUAAAGUAACUAAUACUUACAUUGAAAUCAGAGACCUGUUGGGGCUGCAAAACAGGCAAGGGGUAUGGUGAAAUUACAGAUAGGGAGCUGAUAUCCGGUUUCGGCCGUUAUCUAAACAAGCGAGCAGAUGAUCAAUCUGUUAACUAGGGUGGUACCGCGGAGCUUCCGUCCCUUUU
rnacentral:ncRNA from 1 species